CCUACGGGCGGCAGCAGUGAGGAAUAUUGGUCAAUGGACGAGAGUCUGAACCAGCCAAGUAGCGUGAAGGAUGACUGCCCUAUGGGUUGUAAACUUCUUUUAUAAAGGAAUAAAACGAGGCACGUGUGCCUUUUUGCAUGUACUUUAUGAAUAAGGAUCGGCUAACUCCGUGCCAGCCGCCGCGGUAAUACGGAGGAUGCGAGCGUUAUCCGGAUUUAUUGGGUUUAAAGGGAGCGUAGAUGGGUUGUUAAGUCAGUUGUGAAAGUUUGGGGCUCAACCGUAAAAUUGCCAUUGAUACUGGCAGUCUUGAGUACAGUUGAGGUAGGCGGAAUUCGCGGUGUAGCGGUGAAAUGCUUAGAUAUCGCGAAGAACCCCGAUUGCGAAGGCAGCUUACUAAGCUGUGACUGACAUUGAGGCUCGAAAGUGUGGGUAUCAAACAGGAUUAGAUACCCUUGUAGUC
rnacentral:rRNA from 1 species